GUAUUGCAAGUUUAAAGGAGAUCGUUAAAUCCCCCCUUAACAACAUUCUAAUACAUUCUGACAGAGUAUAUUGUAAAGUAACAUAGAACAGAUACAAUAAAGGAAGCUGGCCUUCGCAACAGCAAACCCAAAAUCCGAGUUCAAGUCUCGAUGAUAUAUCUUGUCCUACAAAUGGUGCACAGGUGAUAACAAAUGAAAAUUAUUGGUAGGCGUGCACUAUUGCUCCAGAGAGCCAGCAAACAACCUGACCACAAAGUUCAAUAAUGAUCCUUCCGCAGGUUCACCUACGGAAA
rnacentral:misc_RNA from 1 species